UUUUAAAGGUCAGUAAAAUCUGUAGGUUUCUAUAAUGGACUAAAUGUGUGUGGAUAUGAAGGAGUCUCUGGGUGAGAGCAGAGGAAGGACAGUAAGGUCAGUCAGUAGAAGAGAGGUUUUGCAUGCUCACAGCUCCACACUCUUUAAGAGCGGUGAGUUCAUCACUGGAGACUUCAGUCCUUUCAGAGCCCCUCACAGCACAAUGAUGACCACUCUGAUCCUCCUGCUGACCACACUGGGCUUCUUUCCUCAAGUGUCCCACCAAGAGGUCCAGACUCCUGAGAGAAGUUCUGUUGAAGCAGGACAGUCCGUCACCUUCAGCUGUGUUGCGAGUGGUGGGAUUGGUUAUUCUAUGAGUUGGUACCAGCUGAAACCUGGAGCAGCUCCUAAACUGCUAAUUUACUAUACAAGUUAUAGGGAUUCUGGAGCUCCAGAGCGAUUCAGUGGAACAUACUCUGGAUACACCUUUACGAUGACCAUCAGUGGAGUCCGGCCUGAAGAUGCAGGAGAGUAUUACUGUAUGGGUGCUUACAGUAGUGUGUCCACACAGUGAAAAAGAGUCGUACAAAAACCUCCCUCAGUCAGACGCAGAGAAACUGCACUGCUGCAGCUGCAGCUACUGAACCACAGAGAAUUUAAUAUUAUAGUU